AGUUGAGACUGUCAGUAGGUGUUGCCCGU
rnacentral:piRNA from 1 species